AAAGAGGAAAAUUUCCCACUGUUUGACAUGAGCCAGAGCCACGGCUACAGCGAAGUCUGACUUGAAAUCGCACGGGGCAACCUGCGUUUAUUACCUGUGAGGAGGAAAGGGGGGCGGGAUCUCGAAUUGGUACUUGUCAAGGGCAUCUUGUUGUGAAGAGUGACUCAGGCGCAGCCACCAGGAAUAGCAGAACAUUGGUUUCAGAGCCACAGAGCUAGAGUGAAGUCUACCUGUAACUGUGAAGCACACAUUUUUGCCAUAGGGACGUGUGUGCCCAUCAGAGACAGAAACAGAGAAGGAGAGGGAGAAAGCACCUUCCAGUGGA